ACAAUCUUAAGGAUUUAAACUCUUAAAUUAUGUUCAGAAGAUUAUAGAACACUAAAACCCCAAUUUUGCGGCGAGAGAAGAAUUACAUGUUGAAUACCUAAGUACAGUGCGUGAUAAAGAAUUGUGUGGAUAGCUGGAAUUUCCAAUCCACGAAAUGAUGCUCAAGUUUGAUAGCGUAUAGCAUCGGGAGAUAUUAUGGAGAAUCUGUAUCGUACGUAGUCAAAUUCAUUGGACUCCUCACUGCUCCAAUUUUGCAUUCACUACGGGUAAUCAAUAACUUACCAUAUCUUUCCAAUAUAUAGAAUUACUCUAUUUUGUUCAAUGUUAAUUCAUUUUUUGUGGACAUGGAUUAAGUUGUGUUUAGUGUCUUUUGAGCAAGUAAAGAUAACAACUUGAUUACCAUAAUUCGUUUCUUCAAGCGGUUCAAGCAUUUUUUGUUGAUUAUAAUCACAUUACUUUUGCUUGUUCGUGAUCUAUUAUUUGCCUUGCCAUAAGAACUCAUCGUUUUGAUUUUGUGUAUGAGUGUACCACUCCUUUUGGAAUAAAUUUAUUUUAAGUAAAUUGACAACUAUGGUUUUGAUUUUGAUCAAUAAGGGUUCAAUUUUCUCUUCGGUGAAAUAUUUUAACGGAACAGUGAAUAUAUAAAUUUGAGAUGUGAAGUUUAUAUAUAUGCUAUAACAAAGAUUUAUUAGCUUGUUUAUUUUGUGGCCUUCAAAAGUGAAGUUUCCUUUAACUGGUUUGAGCAUGGAAGUGCGGUAUGUUUACUACUACAAGCUUCAUAGAUUUGUAACGUGAUAUAUAUCUUUGACUCUAAACUGUGAUUUUUAAAUUCGGUGGUUAACAUUUUGUUGUGUUAAUUAAACAUUCAAUAUUUAUAUGGUUCACUAAUGUUAUUCAAGUGAAGGGAUGCAGUGAUAUUUGUUGCCACUGAAGCAUGAAAACUUGUAGAGUUGAAAGCAAAUUGAGGAGAUGUCUUAUUGAUAAAUUUCAUGACAUUGAGGUAUU
rnacentral:lncRNA from 1 species